AACGAACGCUGGCGGCAGGCUUAACACAUGCAAGUCGAGCGAGACCUUCGGGUCUAGCGGCGGACGGGUGAGUAACGCGUGGGAACGUGCCCUUCUCUACGGAAUAGCCCCGGGAAACUGGGAGUAAUACCGUAUACGCCCUUUGGGGGAAAGAUUUAUCGGAGAAGGAUCGGCCCGCGUUGGAUUAGGUAGUUGGUGGGGUAAUGGCCCACCAAGCCGACGACCCAUAGCUGGUUUGAGAGGAUGAUCAGCCACACUGGGACUGAGACACGGCCCAGACUCCUACGGGAGGCAGCAGUGGGGAAUCUUAGACAAUGGGGGCAACCCUGAUCUAGCCAUGCCGCGUGAGUGAUGAAGGCCUUAGGGUUGUAAAGCUCUUUCAGCUGGGAAGAUAAUGACGGUACCAGCAGAAGAAGCCCCGGCUAACUCCGUG
rnacentral:rRNA from 1 species